UACGUAGGGUCCGAGCGUUGUCCGGAAUUAUUGGGCGUAAAGGGCUCGUAGGCGGUUCGUCACGUCGGGGAGUGAAAACUCGGAGCUUAACUCCGAGCCUGCUUCCGAUACGGGCAGACUAGAGGUAGGCAGGGGAGAGCGGAACUCCUGGUGUAGCGGUGGAAAUGCGCAGAUAUCAGGAAGAACACCCGUGGCGAAGGCGGCUCUCUGGGACGGUACUGA
rnacentral:rRNA from 1 species